GGAGCAUGAAGAAAAAAGAAUGAAAAAUGGGGAGCGAUAAGAGAGAAUGUUCUUUUUCUUGGCUGGGUCCCAAGGGGGGGGGCCCUGAAAAUGAAGCUGCACACAGGACCCCACUAACUCUAAAUCUGCCACUGCCACACUGUGCAUCAAAACAACUCCUGAUUACUGAAACACACGGACAAGUUUCCCCUUUCAUAGCCGUUGCCAAGUGCCUUCUUAGAGAAGCUCUCAGUUCCCACUGACUUCUACUUGUACAUUAUAUAUUCUCAAAGAGCUUCUGCAUCAGUCUUCGGGAUGGUGCUGAGCAUGUUCCUCUCUCAUUGACUUCCUGGGAAUUGAAGGUUUGCUAUUUCACAGGAGAUGAUCAGCACCUGGCAGGAUUACUAAUUAAAGACCUGAUCAUGCACCCCAUGGAAGAACUACCACUGUCUCUGAUGGGAGCAAGAUUAGGCCUUAAAAGUGGUAUGAAAACUAUUGAUGAAGAACAUGGAACGCUAAGGGUUUGUCUACAAGGGGAAAUUUUUUUGGAAUAUGUUUUUGUCUAUAAACAUUUGUGAAAUUACUAAUCAGAAAUAAGUGAACCUCAAAUCCAGUUUUUAACCUACCUCCCUUCAAAUAGGGGACUUCAAUCACUCUGAUACCUGCUGGGAGAGCAAU